AACAAACGCUGGCGGCGUGCCUAAUACAUGCAAGUCGAACGGGGAAAGCUUUCGGGUGAGUACUAGUGGCGCACGGGUGAGUAACGCGUGGAUAAUCUGCCUUAGAGUGGGGGAUAACUAGUCGAAAGAUUAGCUAAUACCGCAUAUGACCACAAGAACUGCGGUUCAAGGGGUCAAAGGUUUUUCGCUCUAAGAUGAGUCCGCGUAAGAUUAGCUAGUUGGUAGGGUAACGGUCUACCAAGGCGACGAUCUUUAACUGGUCUGAGAGGAUGUUCAGUCACACUGGAACUGAGACACGGUCCAGACUCCUACGGGAGGCAGCAGUAGGGAAUAUUGCACAAUGGAGGAAACUCUGAUGCAGCGACGCCGCGUGAGUGAUGAAGGCCUUCGGGUCGUAAAGCUCUGUCGCAGGGGAAUAACACAAUGAAGGUACCCUGUAAGAAAGGAUCGGCUAACUUCGUGCCAGCAGCCGCGGUAAAAC
rnacentral:rRNA from 1 species